UUCAGAAUCUUGCACAAUGGGCGAAAGCCUGAUGCAGCCAUACCGCGUGCGCGAAGAAGGCCCUCGGGUCGUAAAGCGCUGUCAGAGGGAAAGAUUAUGACGGUACCCUCAAAGGAAGCCACGGCUAAUUACGUGCCAGCAGCCGCGGUAAUACGUAAGUGGCGAGCGUUAUCCGGAAUCACUGGGCGUAAAGCGUUCGUAGGCGGCUUGGUAAGUCGGAUUUGAAAGCCCGGGGCUCAACUCCGGAUCCGGAUCCGAAACUAUCAGGCUGGAGCGGAUCAGAGGGCAGUGGAAUUCCCGGUGUAGCGGUAAUAUGCGUAGAUAUCGGGAGGAACACCAGUGGCGAAGGCGGCUGCCUGGGAUCCUGCUGACGCUGAGGAACGAAAGCCAGGGGAGCGAACG
rnacentral:rRNA from 1 species